rnacentral:tRNA from 1 species
UCCCUGAUGGCUGAGUGGUAAAGAAUCUGCUUGUAAUGCAGGAGACACAGGUUCGAUUCCUGGGUUGGGAA